UCAACCCUAGUCUAUCUCCUCCCAUAACAAUGGCCUCAAGGGCACUCUCUUCUUUCACCACUAAGCCCGCUCUCUCUCCCAAGCCACUACUCCCUCACUGCCCUGCUUCUGCUUCUCUCGGAUUCUCCAUGAAUACUGGCGGCGGCAGAUCACUGGUCCUCUCCGCCGCUACGGUUGACACAAACAACAUGCCUAUGACCGGAGUUGUCUUCCAGCCGUUCGAGGAGGUGAAGAAGGCCGAUCUCGCCAUCCCCAUCACAUCUCAUGUCUCCCUCGCUCGCCAGGGCUAUGCCGAUACUAGCGAGGCUGCCAUUAAUGAGCAAAUCAAGUAAGCUUCUUUUUAUUUUCUGUUUUAACAAAAAAAAGGAAAAUGUCAAAAAUAAUAUAUAUAUAUAGAUCUAACGGAGGUCCAUCGUUGCAGUGUGGAAUACAACGUCUCCUACGUCUACCAUUCCAUGUACGCAUACUUCGACAGAGACAACGUUGCUCUUAAGGGACUAGCCAAGUAAUUUCACCUUCUAACUUUUAGUCUUAUCUCAUCUAUAUCUACUUUAAAGAGAUGUAUCCAUGUUCAACUUGGUUUUAUGAUUACCACCAGAUUUUUCAAGGAAUCAAGUGAGGAAGAGAGAGGACAUGCUGAGAAGUUUAUGGAGUACCAGGUUUUCUAUUUUUUAUAGCUAAAACUUUUACAAGUUUAUAAAGAGAGUUAAGUUAGUUAACUUUCUAUUGCUGGUUUGUGUCUUUGUGUAUACAGAACCAAAGAGGAGGAAGAGUGAAACUCCACCCAAUCGUCUCACCUCUUUCAGAAUUCGAACACGCUGAAAAAGGAGAUGCAUUAUACGGUAAACUCUAAACCAAAAACACACACACCUAAAAUUACUUCUUUUUGGCAAAGGAAAAAUGAUGCAGAUAUUUAUUAGUUUACUUAUUUAUUUUUCAGCAAUGGAGUUGGCUCUCUCUCUCGAGAAACUCACUAAUGAGAAGCUUCUUAACGUCCACAGAGUAUGUUCUAUAACUUAUCUCUUUGGUGAUCAAAGAUUAAACUAUUACUCAUUUUCAUAAGCUUAAUUCUUGGCCAACAAAAACAGGUGGCCUCAGAGAACAAUGAUCCCCAGUUAGCUGAUUUUGUUGAGAGUGAAUUUCUUGGAGAACAGGUAAAAGCUCUUUUUUUCUUGGUCUAGCCAGAUCUAGUUACUUGAAAAUUUCCAACAUGUUUUGACUCGAUCACUUUUUUUCUAGAUUGAAGCAAUCAAGAAGAUCUCAGACUACAUCACUCAGCUAAGGAUGGUCGGCAAAGGCCACGGUACAAAUCAAAACCCUAUAUUCAAAUCGUUUUCUAAGACUUUAAUUAAGUUGUUAUAAAGCUUAUAAUCUUUUCUGUCUUUGCAGGAGUUUGGCAUUUCGACCAGAUGCUUCUGAAUUAGACUCGACCUCUAUAAGUUCACUUUCAGACGUCCAUUGUGGGGUUACUCAGAAGAACCCAAAGAUCCUCUAAAAGCUUUAGAUUGAAAGUUAUGGACAAUAAGAUUGUAGUAGUAAGCUUUGUGUUUAAGAUGGUGUUUGUAAUAACUUCCUAAGCCAAAUCAAUGAAGUUUUUGUUUACUUUUUUCUAAAUAGAUAUGUCCAAAUGACGAAAACUAACCAAGUACGUAGAAAGAACUCAAACCUAUCCAACUAAACAGAAAACAUUCAUAAUCCAACUUGAAAGAGAAAGCAUAACAAACCUGUUAAUGAAGAGCAUUUACCAGAAGCAUGAAGGGGUAUGUCACUUUCCACCGGGAACGACAAGCUGGUCAUUUGGAUUACUGAAAAAGCAAACAAGAGGAAGGACAUGGUCACAUUAAAGCAAAAGAGAUGCCCUUACUUUAAUUCUAUCUUAAACACUGGAAAAUCUAUUAUAACCAAACAAACACAUUUUUCCUCUGUUCUACAAUGAGCUGACCAUGUACGAAAAUGGGUAUCCAUGAAAAAUUCAUGACGUAUGAAAACACUACUAAGCUUUCAUGGAGAGAUUCUCCCUUAAUGACUUAUCUUUUCAUCAAGGUUCUUCAAACCACUAAGAAUUAAGUAAAGAGUGAGAAUCUGAUUUAUAUAGUGACGAAGAAAUUGAGCUUCUUCAGGUGUUUCCUUCAAGUAUAACCCAAAAUUAUGGCGAGACAUCUUCGAAUUCGAUAGAAGAAGUGUCUCUCACUGGAACCAAGCAAGCUUGAAAGAUUCUCUACUGUAUGACCCCUUUAUCACAGUCUAACCAAAAAGCUAAGGGAAUAUCAAAUAAUUCCGAAUAGUAGCAUCAAAUCUAGAGAGAUACGCAUUCUAACAAGUAUCUUCUAGAUUAAUGCACGAAUUUUUUUGAAUUCCCUAACCAACAAAAGCUAAGCUCAGACUCCAGCUACAUAUUCAAGCAGAAAACAGAAAUAGAAACCACAAGUGCUUGAAACUGGACAAGCUACGUUGAAAUUGAAAGAGACGGAUAGAAAAACUAACCAUAAUUGUGAGAUAGUCAUCGAGAAAUUGAUUACCGACACUUUAGCCAACUGAGCUUCGAGGAGUGUGGCUAUGGCGGAAGUGGACAACACAAAUCCCAAUUUGUCGCCAAGGUGCCCUAUCCAGCAUCGACACUUACCAUUCUCUGUACUCGCCGAACCGGGUUGAUUAUGUAAAAUGCGCAAAAUUUUACAACUAGGCCUCGCAAACUGAAGCCCAUUAAAAGGAUAUUUAAUGUGCCGAAA
rnacentral:lncRNA from 1 species